GGGUGUUUGGCCGAGCGGUCUAAGGCGCUACGUUCAGGUCGUAGUCUCGCAAGAGGCGUGGGUUCGAACCCCACAGCACCCA
rnacentral:tRNA from 1 species